GUUAGCUAACUAGACUAGCUAGUACGCAACAUCGGCGUUCUGUCUAGCUUGAUAAUAAAUUACCGUUAUACCAGACGUAUUUUCAGAACCGUAUAUAUUUGGAAAUGGUGAAUAUACCAAUACUAAGCUACGUAUGACGCUGUAGUAUAUACGGUUAGCUAGCCGUCGGCGAUUCGGCUAAUACCGAAUUCACUUACCAUUGUCGGCUCCGUUGACAACUCGAGGCCGCUGCUUCAGGGGGAAAGCGACUGGGAGACGAGGGAAAGAGAGAUAGACGACAGGGAAUUAGAACAUAUGUAUGGCCUUAAUAACUUAUAGCACGGGUAUCUCUGUAUACAAACGUAUUUGCACUAUUAUACGAUUUGUUAAGCGAGAUUACUGGUUAGCUAUCUAGCUAACAAGUCGGAGAAAAUAAAUGCGAGCUUGCCAAUAAAACAAGCCAUUUAGCUGCUAACUGCUAGCGAAUUAUUUCAACCUGCCACUAGCAUGCUAGCUUAGCUGAGAAUAAGGUAACGUAGACUAACGUUAAAACAAUAGUAGCAAGCAAGUGUUUUGCUCACCCUCCUUUUCUGAACGCCUCAAGCAAGAAGAGCCACAUAUGUGUUCAAGACUGAGGGAGAAAUGGCAGAUGGCCAUUUUCUAAAUUCAUCAUCUGUCUCCAGAGACCGGGGGAUGGACGAGCCCGUCCUGGAGCAUAUUCCCCACAGGCCAGGGCCUCAGCAGCAUCCCACAUGCAUAUUCUAUUACAUAUACUGCUCUGCUGUCUACACAAAGCCAAAUUCAGUUUUUGAAAGAAUGAGACUGCCUUUGUUAAUGAAUUUAGGGUGGAAGACUUAAUCAGUGUGUGUGUGUGUGUGUAUGUGCGCAUGCGCCAUUUGACUUUACUGACAGCCUAUGCUUACUGCGUGACUUGAUGUUCAUGGCUGUGGACAGCUGAUACUUAAUGAGAAUUUUACCUUAUCUGAUCUGUGUUCUGUAGUUGUUUCAACGACCUUCACUGUGCAAUUAUUGUACGUCACUUUGGAUAAAAGCGUCUGCAAAAUAAAGUGUAAUGUGCAGUAAUGUAA